rnacentral:rRNA from 1 species
UACGUAGGCGGCAAGCGUUGUCCGGAUUUAUUGGGUUUAAAGGGUGCGUAGGCGGUCCUUUAAGUCAGUGCUGAAAUACUCUAGCUUAACUAGAGGGGUGGCAUUGAUACUGGAGGACUUGAAUGAAGUCGAGGUAGGCGGAAUUGACGGUGUAGCGGUGAAAUGCUUAGAUAUCGUCAAGAACACCGAUAGUGAAGACAGCUUACUAGGCUUAGAUUGACGCUGAGGCACGAAAGUGUGGGGAUCAAACAGG